rnacentral:rRNA from 1 species
GAUGAACGCUGGCGGCGUGCCUAAUACAUGCAAGUCGAGCGAACAGAUGAGGAGCUUGCUCCUCUGACGUUAGCGGCGGACGGGUGAGUAAAACGUGGAUAACCUACCUAUAAGACUGGGAUAACUUCGGGAAACCGGAGCUAAUACCGGAUAAUAUAUUGAACCGCAUGGUUCAAUAGUGAAAGACGGUUUUGCUGUCACUUAUAGAUGGAUCCGCGCCGCAUUAGCUAGUUGGUAAGGUAACGGCUUACCAAGGCAACGAUGCGUAGCCGACCUGAGAGGGUGAUCGGCCACACUGGAACUGAGACACGGUCCAGACUCCUACGGGAGGCAGCAGUAGGGAAUCUUCCGCAAUGGGCGAAAGCCUGACGGAGCAACGCCGCGUGAGUGAUGAAGGUCUUCGGAUCGUAAAACUCUGUUAUUAGGGAAGAACAAAUGUGUAAGUAACUAUGCACGUCUUGACGGUACCUAAUCAGAAAGCCACGGCUAACUACGUG